rnacentral:antisense_RNA from 1 species
UGUGGGAGCGAGCUUGCUCGCGAAAGCGUCGGGUCAGUUGCAUUGAUAUCGCCUGACACAACGCCUUCGCGAGCAAGCUCGCUCCCACA